ACUGGACCUAGCGGCGGACGGGUGAGUAAGGCUUAGGAAUCUGCCUAUUAGUGGGGGACAACAUUCCGAAAGGAAUGCUAAUACCGCAUACGUCCUACGGGAGAAAGCAGGGGACCUUCGGGCCUUGCGCUAAUAGAUGAGCCUAAGUCGGAUUAGCUAGUUGGUGGGGUAAAGGCCUACCAAGGCGACGAUCUGUAGCGGGUCUGAGAGGAUGAUCCGCCACACUGGGACUGAGACACGGCCCAGACUCCUACGGGAGGCAGCAGUGGGGAAUAUUGGACAAUGGGGGGAACCCUGAUCCAGCCAUGCCGCGUGUGUGAAGAAGGCCUUAUGGUUGUAAAGCACUUUAAGCGAGGAGGAGGCUACUAGUAUUAAUACUACUGGAUAGUGGACGUUACUCGCAGAAUAAGCACCGGCUAACUCUGUGCCAGCAGCCGCGGUAAUACAGAGGGUGCGAGCGUUAAUCGGAUUUACUGGGCGUAAAGCGUGCGUAGGCGGCCAUUUAAGUCAAAUGUGAAAUCCCCGAGCUUAACUUGGGAAUUGCAUUCGAUACUGGAUGGCUAGAGUAUGGGAGAGGAUGGUAGAAUUCCAGGUGUAGCGG
rnacentral:rRNA from 1 species